UAUGGUGUGUAGCUCAGUGGUGAGAGUACUUGCUUAGCAUGUGCAAAGCCCUGGGUUCAUUUCCCACCACCAAAA
rnacentral:tRNA from 1 species